GGGAGCUUGCUCCCUGAUGUUAGCGGCGGACGGGUGAGUAACACGUGGGUAACCUGCCUGUAAGACUGGGAUAACUCCGGGAAACCGGGGCUAAUACCGGAUGGUUGUUUGAACCGCAUGGUUCAGACAUAAAAGGUGGCUUCGGCUACCACUUACAGAUGGACCCGCGGCGCAUUAGCUAGUUGGUGAGGUAACGGCUCACCAAGGCGACGAUGCGUAGCCGACCUGAGAGGGUGAUCGGCCACACUGGGACUGAGACACGGCCCAGACUCCUACGGGAGGCAGCAGUAGGGAAUCUUCCGCAAUGGACGAAAGUCUGACGGAGCAACGCCGCGUGAGUGAUGAAGGUUUUCGGAUCGUAAAGCUCUGUUGUUAGGGAAGAACAAGUGCCGUUCAAAUAGGGCGGCACCUUGACGGUACCUAACCAGAAAGCCACGGCUAACUACGUGCCAGCAGCCGCGGUAAUACGUAGGUGGCAAGCGUUGUCCGGAAUUAUUGGGCGUAAAGGGCUCGCAGGCGGUUUCUUAAGUCUGAUGUGAAAGCCCCCGGCUCAACCGGGGAGGGUCAUUGGAAACUGGGGAACUUGAGUGCAGAAGAGGAGAGUGGAAUUCCACGUGUAGCGGUGAAAUGCGUAGAGAUGUGGAGGAACACCAGUGGCGAAGGCGACUCUCUGGUCUGUAACUGACGCUGAGGAGCGAAAGCGUGGGGAGCGAACAGGAUUAGAUACCCUGGUAGUCCACGCCGUAAACGAUGAGUGCUAAGUGUUAGGGGGUUUCCGCCCCUUAGUGCUGCAGCUAACGCAUUAAGCACUCCGCCUGGGGAGUACGGUCGCAAGACUGAAACUCAAAGGAAUUGACGGGGGCCCGCACAAGCGGUGGAGCAUGUGGUUUAAUUCGAAGCAACGCGAAGAACCUUACCAGGUCUUGACAUCCUCUGACAAUCCUAGAGAUAGGACGUCCCCUUCGGGGGCAGAGUGACAGGUGGUGCAUGGUUGUCGUCAGCUCGUGUCGUGAGAUGUUGGGUUAAGUCCCGCAACGAGCGCAACCCUUGAUCUUAGUUGCCAGCAUUCAGUUGGGCACUCUAAGGUGACUGCCGGUGACAAACCGGAGGAAGGUGGGGAUGACGUCAAAUCAUCAUGCCCCUUAUGACCUGGGCUACACACGUGCUACAAUGGGCAGAACAAAGGGCAGCGAAACCGCGAGGUUAAGCCAAUCCCACAAAUCUGUUCUCAGUUCGGAUCGCAGUCUGCAACUCGACUGCGUGAAGCGGAAUCG
rnacentral:rRNA from 1 species